CUGACUCUGAAAUCUUCUAAAU
rnacentral:miRNA from 1 species